UUGGAUUAAUCGUGCAGCACUAGACAACAUGACCUCUGACGGCAUUGAGUAGUGGCGACCACUUGCCUAUGUUGUAGAUGAGUGACGGUAUGGAGUAGUGGCGACCACUUGCCUAUGUUGUAGAUGAGUGAAGGUAUGGAGUAGUGGCGACCACUUGCCUAUGUUGUAGAUGAGUGAAGGUAUGGAGUAGUGGCGACCACUUGCCUAUGUUGUAGAUGAGUGAAGGUAUGGAGUAGUGGCGACCACUUGCCUAUGUUGUAGAUGAGUGAAGGUAUGGGGUAGUAGCGACCACUUGCCUAUGUUGUAGAUGAGUGACGGUAUGGGGUAGUAGCGACAACUUGCCUAUGUUGUAGAUGAGUGACGGUAUGGAGUAG
ensembl:lncRNA